rnacentral:snoRNA from 1 species
UUGCCCAAUGAUUAUAGCAAGACGCGUUAUUACGAGGACUAAUGCUGGAACUCUUCUUAUCCUCCUCUUUUCUUCUUUGUCCCUUCUCCACUUUCACUUUAACCCUCAUUUAUCUUGGGUGUCCAGCGUCCUAUGAGCAAGAUUAUGAGAUAUGAGGGCAA